rnacentral:pre_miRNA from 15 species
CAUCUUAAUCGGGGUCAAAUUGACUCUAGUAGGGAGUCCGUUACUUUAUAGCGACUCCCUAACGGAGUCAGGUUGACUCCCUUUGAGGGA